GGGGCGGCCCCCGCACCCACCCCUCCGGCUCCACCCCGGCGCGCCUCACCCGGACCGGUCUCAGGAGCGAUACGGGCUUCAGCGUGGCGAAAUGCACCAAUACGACUCGCUACGCACUGAGAAGGGGGCCCCACGCGCGCCCCGAGCUACCGCGCCCGCGGGCCUCAGGGAGCCGCUGACCUUCUAGAAAUGGAAAAAUGAUCCGUGGCCUCUAGUAAAGAUCACCUCCUCAGUAAGACUCGCAUGGCAAUGGGAUGGAUGAAGGAACAGGGGAUAACAGAUUGGAUGGAACCCACACCCUUCAUGCAAGUUCUGCAAAAGAGAAUCUGGUGUAGCCACCAAAGCAUCACAUGCUUGAUACCGCCCACCAAAAAACGAGCAACAGCUGGCAAUAAGAGCCAUUUUUAUCUCCAAGAGCAAGACGUCCCCAAUAUAAGAAAUUUGUGGGCACUCCCACCGUUCUGCCAGUCCACACCAAAGUGGGAGAAAACCUUCAAACCUUAAUUACUGGGUAGAGCUAGUGUUUUAUUCUCCCAAAGGCUGGGGGAGGAAAGGAGGCAGGGCAGAGAGAUGAACCUCACAGAAUAAGGCCUGACUAGAGAGACAGCUGAGGAAUCCUUGAAACAAGAAGGAAAAGGAAAGGAGAAGCACCCCUGGUGUGGAUCAGGAGAAGAAUAGAAGUCAUCUUGGAGAAGAGCCAAAGGACCCACUGCCCACACCUGCGCUGCCCAGGAUGGAGCCACUCACCACUGGUGGCUAUUUAC
rnacentral:lncRNA from 10 species